rnacentral:lncRNA from 1 species
UGGUAUACCAUCAAUUUUUUUUUAACUCUUUUUUAAAGCCUGUUAUUUUAAAAGAGUAGUGAACAUCCCUAAGGAUUAGUCCCGUCUAAAAGCUGAAUUAAAACUAUUACAGUGUCUUUGUCCUACUUAAUUCAACAGCUUAUAGAUCAUAUCCUCAUGUAAACAAACACAUGUGUAAAUUGUAAUGUAACCCAUAUUCAAAUUUAAAAAAAAAUCUACACCUCAUUUUUUGAUUCUGUAAUAAAUUAUAUUUGUAAUAUUUAAUUAAAUUCUCUGAG